rnacentral:sRNA from 2 species
AUAUCUCUCUGUACGGGAAGGAUGAGAAGCUUCGACCAAGGUUCGAUUCGAGCGCAGCGAGAAAGCGUUGCCGCAGGCAACGACCCGAAGGGCGAAGCG